AUGCCCUUAUUAUGAUAAUUGAGAUUUUGAUUAUAGAGUAUCUUGCCAAAGCCUCACUACGAAUUAUGGUGUAAUUUCCUGACGGUAAAUGUAGAUAACCUUAUCAUAUCAUGCGACGGACUUCAUUUCACCUCGUUUGGAAACAAGAUUUUGUUUGACGAGGUGCUCAAGAUGCUGGAAUAUAUUGGGUUUAACCAGAAAAUUCUCUGGUCGGAUCUCCCGCUGUUCCUUGAAAUUGACCCAAAAGACCCAUUGAAAGCAUUGGAAAUUUGAACAAGCUCCUUCGUUGCAAAGUAGACCAUGAUACAUCACUCGAAAAAGAUUCUCCUUCUUCAGUUCCUCACCGUGAUAUGUCUUCCCAAUCCCAUAGGUAUCGAUCAUUUUUUCUCUUAAUUGUCUUGGUUUGUAGGUUGUAGCUGCAGGAUCAAGAUACGUGUAUGGACACCUCCGUCUUCAUGACUCAAUGGGAAAUUUGAUGAGGUCAAUAAACAGAUCCAAUUCACUUGCCUCGCCGCAAUUAGGGUGUAAAUUCUUUGCUAUAAGCUGAAGCUCAGUACGGGUUGUGUCGCUAGGACUAUGUCACACAUAAAGAAAACACUUUCUACCAUUGCCAUGAAGGUAUAGCUUUCAGAUUAUCUCUUUGGUGAAUUUCAUGACUAUGAUAUCCCUAGCUAAUACUUCCAUUGGAUUGGAUGCUACACUAUGAGAAUUUUACUUCUGAGAUGGAUCUGUGUAAUAUAAAUAUUUGUUGAGCCAACCUAUUGACUACAGAAGCCUAUACUUC